CGGAUCAGCGAAAACCAUCGCUUGUGUUUGAUAUCAAGUUGAUCAAAAAGUGACGUUGAAGCCGAGCGAAAGAAAAGUCGCGGACCUAACACUACCCACCACCUUUCUGUCUUUCUUGUCACUAGUCUUUCUUUCCGCCUGACAAGCCCGUGUUUGUUUGUUUGUCAGUGACUAGCUAGCUAGGCGAGCCCCAGGCAAGUGAGGAGACACGGCUGGGAAACCCCACGUACCUGAGCUGGCUGGCGAAUAAAAAAAUAGGUACGAUCGCGGGGCGCGAGCAUCGCACGCGCAUCGAUCGUCGUUGACGCCAAUCACGACACGACAUUUUUUGGUGAUGACUGGGAUGGCGAUUGCUCAUCAAGGGAGUCAGGUGAAAGCCGCGGAGCUCCAGAGGACGACUCUCUCCUCCCGCAAAGCGACUCGGCGAGGCUGCAGACUUCGUGUAGAAGAAAGCAGCGCUGAUGAGAAUGACAACGACUCGAGUGGAUAUUGUUGAGCGAUGAACGACUCCUUCACUAAUAUGUUUCAUGGAAGUGAAGGGCUUGGAGAGCAUCAGUACUGAGCCUGGUGUGGAUGCAAUAUCAGCCCCUGGAACUUGGCCAUAUGCCGUUAGCUGCGCAAUAGUCAGUGAAGCCAAUGAUUUACUUGGACGAGCCAGUGUCUGAGUACACCCCCAAGGACUAUAAAAUUCCUCCUUGUUAGCCGGCUGAGUGAUGGCAAUGCCUAACAGGAUCAGACACAUACCAACGCUCAUACUUGCAUUCUACACAGAAAUGCCACUUCCAACAUUUGUACAGAGAUGUGGUGUACCGCAUUUUUUGGUCACUUACGGUGCUGUGAUUGAUCUAAAAUUUCUUGAGACUGGUUAUCAGUGGUUGUGGAUCAAUUUGGAGCACAAAAAUAUUUUUCGAAAAUUUUGCACAUGUGA